GCUCACACCCAACCGAUCAGAGAGCUCACUAAAAUGCUAAUUAGGCAAAAACUGGAGGUAAAGAAAUAGCCAAUCAUCUAUUGCCUGAGAGCACAGCAGGAGGGACAAUGAUCAGGACAUAAACCCAGGCAUUCGAGCCAGCAACAGCAACCCGCUUUGGGUCCCCUCCCUUUGUAUGGGAGCUCUGUUUUCACUCUAUUUCACUCUAUUAAAUCUUGCAACUGAAGAAAAAAAGACUGAUAUUGGGACUUAGCGGGGGAACCCACCCCUGAUAAUUCAAUGUUAUUUCCAUGUUAUUUCACAUGGGUUCUUUUCUAUUUCCGUAAGUGUCAGCCGGUCUAAGAAAUAGAGCAGAGAUCUGUAAGAAUAGAAUGCAGGAGACAAUUCCCCAAGAGAAGCGUUGGGGAGGAAUAAUUUAUUUUCUCACCUAUCACUAGGCUCCUGAGGUAAGCUCUAGAUAUCAGAUAAAUUUACAUGACACAAAAGCCUUCAGAAAUGAAAGCUCAAAGAAACAGAAAAUCCCAUGUAUCUUUAUGCUAAGUGUGAUGAAGUGGAUGGUUGUGAAGUAUGAUUGGAAAAGGGGGUAUAAUUUAAUGAUAGUGAACUGGGGGGAACUUAGCAAGGCCAGCUUGUUCAGAUUCUCCUUUGUGUUUCUGUGUCUCCAGCAUGGAGGAGGUUCCUUUACGCUGGGUAUAGGGUGAGGGCCUCUCACAUGUGAAUCUUUUGAUCUAC
rnacentral:lncRNA from 1 species